ensembl:lncRNA
AACGAAACCUCAAGAUCUUCGCAAUUUAACAUCGCAAAGGCCUUUAGAUUACACUGACAAAGUUUGGUGUUGAUCUGAAUAAAUCUCUAGGAGGAGUUCGUUAAAGUACAACCCCUGAAAAUGGCAAAAACGACACAAAUUUUGCAGAGAAAAUUCAAAAUAACUGACUUCCUGUUGGGAUUCGAAUUUCGUACCAAGAGACUUUUUUGUAGGUAUUGGUGUGUUACAUGUGUGUACCGAUUUUUGUACAUGUACGUGAAACGUAGCUCGAGGCGCACUCCGUUGAAAAUGUAUAGGUGGCGCUAUCGAGGCAUUUUGCCACACCCAAUGGAAUAUUGGCCUUCAGAUGUGUUCAGGCCAGGACUCUUAUCGAACAUGUGAAGUUUGGGCAAGAUCGGACAUUUUAUGCCUGAGUUACAAUAACUUUUAUUCCCAUGGCGAGACAUCGAACUUUGUGACGGCGCCAUGGACACGCCCUUUAACGAAAACUCAAGAUCUUCACAAUUUAACAUCAC